rnacentral:rRNA from 1 species
GAAAGCGUGGGUAGCGANCAGGAUUAGAUACCCUGUAGUNCACGCCGUAAACGAUGAGUGCUAGGUGUUAGGUCCUUUCCGGGACUUAGUGCCGCAGCUAACGCAAUAAGCACUCCGCCUGGGGAGUACGACCGCAAGGUUGAAACUCAAAGGAAUUGACGGGGGCCCGCACAAGCGGUGGAGCAUGUGGUUUAAUUCGAAGCAACGCGAAGAACCUUACCAGGUCUUGACAUCCCGAUGCCCGCUCUAGAGAUAGAGUUUUUCUUCGGAACAUCGGAGACAGGUGGUGCAUGGUUGUCGUCAGCUCGUGUCGUGAGAUGUUGGGUUAAGUCCCGCAACGAGCGCAACCCUUAUUGUUAGUUGCCAUCAUUGAGUUGGGCACUCUAGCGAGACUGCCGGUAAUAAACCGGAGGAAGGUGGGGAUGACGUCAAGUCAUCAUGCCCCUUAUGACCUGGGCUACACACGUGCUACA